rnacentral:lncRNA from 1 species
CUAGUAGCAAAUGUGUUUACUUUAUUGAUUUAAUAAUUGUUUUAGGCCAUGGGCAGGAGUUGCUGGCUGUGAAGUAGAAAAGACUGUACUAUGUGUCGACAACAGAAGAAUUCCAGUUUUACACAACUUUUUAUUGCACUAUUGGCUGUUAAUCACAGCUGACAUCAGAGAGUGAAGGCUGUUCCGGUUCAUCUCCCAGUCCUCAUUCAAGAGAAAAGGCUGUCUGCAAGGCUGGAAAUCCUGAAGACUUUCAUCAUUCCAUGAUUUCCUAAGCAUUGCUCUUGCUUCCUGACACUGGUUCAAACGGGACUUGAAAAUCAUCCCCAGAGAAGCAACUAUGGACUGACCAAAGGGAUAUGGAUGGAAUACUUGUGCAUCGGUACAUGAAGGCGCCUCCCCGCAAUGAUCACAAGGCUCGAUAAGAAUGGCUGCUAUCGCAUGUGGAUAUAUGAGAGAAAAGGGACACAACAACCUUCCUCGGAUGAAAGAUUUCCAGGUGACAAGCAGCUAGACAAGGAGGUGAGUAUUUUUGCCAGCAAGAGCGCAUACACAUACUCCAUUCACUGAAAGCAUUUGGAAGAACUUUCUUGUCUCCC